rnacentral:lncRNA from 1 species
UUUUAUUUACUUGUAAACUUUGUUGAUAUAUAACAAAUGUUCUUGGAUAAUAUUUAUGGAAUGACUAUUCCUCGAUGUAUUCGUGAAUUUUUUAAUGUAUGCAUGCAUUUUUCUUUCUUAUAUUCUUUGUGGUAGAAUUGUAAUGAUUUUGUUGUUUGAAUUGUUAUUUAGGCAUGGAUAGCAUUGGUACUGAGUGCUAGCAAUAGCAAACAGAAGAAGGGUAAGGGUAAGGUAGAUGAUAGGACUUGUAGGUUUUGGACUCAAACUAAGGAAAAAUUCCUCAUUCAUGCUAUGAGAGAUGUGUUCCCUAACCCAAAAUAGAAAUAAGACACUAGCGCAUUUAGGUCUGGGUUCUUCCAGGAAAUGGAGAAGAAGGUCAUCAUGGCAUUUCCUGGAACAGAUUUUUGAACCUCUCCACACGUUGACUCAAAGAAAAAGAUGUGGGAGUUUUAUUAUAACCUAAUACGUGAUGCCCUUAAUACUAGUGGGUUUGCAUGGUGUGAACGAG